rnacentral:lncRNA from 1 species
AGAGAGUCCUGGGCUCAGAAAAAGCCGACAGACCUUAACGUCAACAGAGCUUUUCACUGAAAAAUCACAAAGGCUCACAUAAUACCAAAAUUUGAAUAAAAUUCCAGAGCAUCAUGAACACAUUUCUACCUCUCCACAAUCCAAAUGUCCAAUGUGCCUCUGUAGAUGCAACACAGAGUUGAAGAGAAAGGACAGAUGGGGUGAUCAGUUGUUUCAAAAAGAAUAGAACAACAAAGGAGACUAACGGAAAUGGUUGCACCAAGAAGAUACCCAACAGAAUCUGGAUGCCCAGAAACAAGACCUAAGAUGACAUUUCCUACUCUGCCCCUUUGGAAGUUCACAGAAGUCUUAGCGUGGACCUUGAACCCUCAUCAGAUGUAGAAUUGCUGUUAGAAUCCCCUACAGAAUUAUUUAGGUUUGGUGUUAUCUUCUUUGAAUGACCCUAAAAAGGGAGAAGUGGCGAUGAUGGAACUUCAGUGAAGGCUUUGCCUGGACUGGACAUCUCUUCAUACUCAGCAAUGGACAAUUCAUUUCCAAAGUGGUCCCUCUGAGCCUUGGCCAUCAGUGAUGGUGAAAGCAACAGAUGUCAGAUGUCAGCCCCUGGCUUCCUGCCUUACCGUAGAGGGAUACUC